UACGGAGGGGGCUAGCGUUAUUCGGAAUUAUUGGGCGUAAAGGGCGCGUAGGCGGCUCGGUAAGUCAAAGGUGAAAUCCCUCGGCUCAACUGAGGAACUGCCUUUGAAACUGUCGGGCUUGAGGCCGGGAGGGGGUAGCGGAAUUCCCAGUGUAGCGGUGAAAUGCGUAGAUAUUAGGAAGAACACCAGUGGCGAAGGCGGCUCACUGGUCCGGUACUGACGCUGAGGUGCGAAAGCGUGGGGAGCAAACAGG
rnacentral:rRNA from 1 species